AGACAGUGAAGUCACCAGGCCUGGCUUCAGGACAGCAACCCCCUGUUGAGAUCCCCACCACAACCAAGCUAUGAGGCAUAUGAGGGUUGAAAGCAAUGAGACUUUCUAAGCCUACAAAACAGGGGUCUGAACAGCAGAUCUGCCUUCCCAUGGCCUUGCUUGGAGGACAGAAGGAAUGAGGCAUGAAAGGAUGAUAUGGAGGAACCAGAUCCUGAAAGAUGAAGAGGGCUUGGCUGCAAAAGAAGGGAAGGACAGGAGUUUGUCAAUAAAGACUGGAAGGCAGCAAUUUGCAGGGCUUUUUAAUUGCAAAGGAAUGACUGGCAAAAAGUUCGAGAAAAGCAGGGAAGUAAAUUGUAUAGAUAAGAUGAGCCUGGAUUAAAAUAACAGUGAAACCAGAUGGACAAGGUAUCUGGAAAGGAAAAGAAAUAAGGUUCCAGAGUUUUUUUUUUUUCCAAACAACAGUGACUUAGCAUUUAAGGAAGAUCGGCCUGAGAAUGGUACAUAAUCUGGCCAGAGCUGAGAAGACUGAAAGACAUGUGGAAAAGCAGCUAUGAUCCAUUCUUAGUAGAGGUAAUAGAGAAAAGCAGAGACAGCAGACAGAGUCUAAAGGAAAAAACUGGGGUCGGGCUUUAGCUCAGCAGUAGAGUCGGCAUAUGCAAGGUGCCCUAGACCCCUGAUACUGCAAAAUAAGUGAAUAAACAAAAAAAAAGUGAAAAGACUAGACAAUCAACUGCAUAUGGAGGACAAAGAUAUGUUAAUGUUCAUUCAAAUACGAGUCUGGGUGACUACAAGAACAUCUGCUCUGUUUGAAAAAAGAAUGCAUUGAUGAUUUUUUGUUUCUUUGAUUUACUGGGGGUUCGUUUUAAGCUCUCUCUCCACAGAGUAUUCUCAGCUGAUAUAUGUUAAUCAUGAUACAUAUCUUAACGAUGACACAGCUAUUCAUUGCAAGUGUUUGUUAGUGUGCUUUCUUGAUUCUUCCCGCCUUGAUUUAACGUCAAUUUCUACACUCUAGCUUUGCAAUAAAAUGUUUAGCAUUAUGUCUUAUUAUUUUUAUCUGUGUAUCCCUAAAUCCAAAAGAGUAGAAUAAUUUGUAGAAUUCGUCUGUCCUUAUUUGAAUAGUACAUUAUUUUUCUGAAUUUUAGCUGCCCAAGUCCGUGGCAAGAUGUAAUUCUAGAUUAUUACACUAGAUGGCAGAAAACAACUACUUUCUCUUCAUUCCAUUCAGCAUAAUAAAGCCACUGUACGGAAAAAUUAA